rnacentral:rRNA from 1 species
GACGAACCGUGCGAACGUUGUUCGGAAUCACUGGGCUUAAAGGGCGCGUAGGCGGCUCCUCAAGUCAAGGGUGAAAUCUUUCGGCCCAACCGGAAAAGUGCCUUUGAUACUGGGGAGCUCGAGGGAGGUAGGGGCGGACGGAACUUCCGGUGGAGCGGUGAAAUGCGUUGAUAUCGGAAGGAACGCCGGUGGCGAAGGCGGUCUUCUGGACGGUGACUGACGCUGAGGCACGAAGGCCAGGGGAGCAAACGGG